UUUAACAGACUUUAUUGUUAGUAAAGCCUGCUCAAUGAUAAAUAAAUAGCCGCAGAACCCUGUGCUAAGGGAGCAUAAUAAUUUGCCUUAUAAUUAAAGGCUAGCAUGAAAGGUAUCACAUAUUGAUAACUUUAUUUAUUUAAUUAUUUGAAAUUAACCUUUUAGUAAAAAGGCUAAAAUAAAUAAAGAGGACGACAAGACCCUGACAAACUUUACACUCAUGUUAUACUGGGGGGGUAAAAAAACAUCAUCUUUUUCAACUUAAAAAAACAGAAAAAUUCUAUCUUUAUACAAGUUACUGCAGGGAUAACAGCAUAAUUUUUUCUCAGAGACCUUAUCUAAGAAAAAUUUUGUGACCUCGAUGUUGAAUUAGAUAUCUAUAAGGAGCAAAAUCUUUAUAAGUAAGUCUGUUCGACUUUUAAUAAUCUACAUGAUUUGAGUUCAGACCGGUGUAAGCCAGGUCGGUUUCUAUCCCCUUUCCUUAACUCUUAGUACGAAAGGACCAGAAUUAUUAUUAUCUAUACU
rnacentral:rRNA from 1 species